UACGUAGGGUGCAAGCGUUGUCCGGAAUUAUUGGGCGUAAAGAGCUCGUAGGCGGUCUGUCGCGUCUGCUGUGAAAACUCGGGGCUUAACCCCGGGCCUGCAGUGGGUACGGGCAGACUAGAGUGCGGUAGGGGAGACUGGAAUUCCUGGUGUAGCGGUGAAAUGCGCAGAUAUCAGGAGGAACACCGGUGGCGAAGGCGGCUCUCUGGACGGUGACUGACGCUGAGACGCGAAAGCGUGGGGAGCAAACAGG
rnacentral:rRNA from 1 species